ACCGGCGGGGACAUUUUCAAUCCUGUCCAAGACUUUUCAAGUAUUGCACUUGUCCCGGCCAGC
rnacentral:pre_miRNA from 1 species